rnacentral:lncRNA from 1 species
ACCAUGGCAGGGAGUAAGUUGUGGGAAGAAAGAUGCUUGCAGCUGGGAGGGAAACAAAGGACAUUCAUCACAGCCUACAUAGCAAGACCUGCCUGAAGGUCGAGAGAGAGCAGGGGGAGGACAUCCCAACCAUGACGUAAUCCCUCCAACUGGGUCCCACCUCUUAAAAGUCCCGCAGGCUUUCAAUAAUAGCACCACAGGCUGCAAACCAACUCCUUAAAAUGUGGGACAUUCAAGAUCCCAAAUGUAACAGAGACCCUGUCCCAGCCUCUUUGUGUGCUGAGCGUAGAAGAACCCCCUCUUUCAGGAGAGACUUCCAUGGGAGUGUAUCACAGUCUAUACAGAGCGAUGAGAACUUCAGUUCAACUACAUGGGGAGAUUGGGAACUGAGGGGAGGGAGACAGGCUGAGCUCAGCGAGGUAUGGGGGAGAAAUACAGUCUCCAUUAGUGGCGGUAUUGCCAGUCAUUUGUAAGAAGUCUGAUCUGGUGCUAGGGAUGGUAGCAUACUCACAUGCAAGAAAUGUGAAACCAUGGUGUACAUGCAGGCUUAGAAGCAGGUGGCUAAGAGACUGGGGUGCUCAUACACACUGGCGUAUGCAUCUGAACAUGCUCACACAGAUGCAUGGCUCACGGUGAAUGACUGGGGGGCAGCCAAAGCUGCAUCAGACAGGGUGAAACCCUACCUCAGUAGAGUGGCCGUGUUUCUCUUUUACCAAAAAAAAAAAAAAAAAA